UGUGUGUGUGCGUACAUGCAUGCCCCACUCCUGCUGUUCCCUGCCCUGCUCCCAGGAGCCAUGGGGUGGUGUGGGAGGGACCCCGUUCCAUAUUUCCUUACCUCAUCCCAG